rnacentral:rRNA from 1 species
GACGAACGCUGGCGGCGUGCUUAACACAUGCCAGUCGAACGGAAAGGCCCUGCUUGCCGGGUGCUCGAGUGGCGAACGGGUGAGUAACACGUGGGUGAUCUGCCCCUUAUUUUGGGAUAAGCCUGGGAAACUGGGUCUAAUACUGGAUAGGACCAUGCUGUAGGUGGUGUGGUGGAAAGAUUAGUUUCGGUAAGGGAUGAGCUCGCGGCCUAUCAGCUUGUUGGUGGGGUAAUGGCCUACCAAGGCGUCGACGGGUAGCCGGCCUGAGAGGGUGGACGGCCACAUUGGGACUGAGAUACGGCCCAGACUCCUACGGGAGGCAGCAGUGGGGAAUAUUGCACAAUGGGCGCAAGCCUGAUGCAGCGACGCCGCGUGGGGGAUGACGGCCUUCGGGUUGUAAACUCCUUUCAGCCAUGACGAAGCCCUUGUGGUGACGGUAGUGGUAGAAGAAGCACCGGCUAACUACGUG